UAACACGUAAAGAACCUACCUUAUAGACAGGGACAACUAUUGGAAACGAUAGCUAAUACCUGAUAAGAAAGAAACUCGCAUGAGAGAAGUUCGAAAGUCGGAGCAAUCUGACACUAUAAGAUGGCUUUGCGGUGCAUUAGCUAGUUGGUAGGGUAAAAGCCUACCAAGGCGACGAUGCAUAGCCGACCUGAGAGGGUGAUCGGCCACAUUGGGACUGAGACACGGCCCAGACUCCUACGGGAGGCAGCAGGC
rnacentral:rRNA from 1 species